rnacentral:rRNA from 1 species
AUUGAACGCUGGCGGCAGGCCUAACACAUGCAAGUCGAACGAGUGGCGGACGGGUGAGUAAUGUCUGGGAACCUGCCCGCUGGAGAGGGAUAACAACUGGAAAAGGUAGCUAAUACCGCAUACCAUCUGAUGUGCCCAGAUGGGAUUAGCUUGUGGGUGAGGUAACGGCUCACCUAGGCGACGAUCCCUAGCUGGUCUGAGAGAAUGACCAGCCACACUGGAACUGAGACACGGCCCAGACUCCUACGGGAGGCAGCAGUGGGGAAUAUUGCACAAUGGGCGCAAGCCUGAUGCAGCCAUGCCGCGUGUAUGAAGAAGGCCUUCGGGUUGUAAAGUACUUUCAGCGGGGAGGCGUUACCCGCAGAAGAAGCACCGGCUAACUCCGUGCCAGCAGCCGCGGUAAUUC